UACCCUCACAAGUCCAGCCAAAAAGCCGCACCGGUGUGGUUGAAAAUGAGCCACCGCCGCCGCUUCCUUCCCCCACGUCGGCGGUCUCUCUCCACCGCGAGCCGCCCUCCUCCUUCCCCGACGCCGGCCGCCUCCCUCCACCACGCGCCGCCGUCCUCCUUCCCCGACGCCGGCCGCCGCCCACUACCACGCGCCGCCCUCCUCCUUCCCCGGCGCCGGCCACCUCCCUCCACUACGCGCCGCUCCUCCUUCCCCGGCGCCGGACGCCUCCUAACACCACACGCCGCCCUCCUCCUGCCCCGGCGCCGGCCGCCUGCCUCCACCACGCGCCGCCCUCCUCCAUCCCCUGCGCCGGCCACCUACAUCCAUCGCGCAGAUCCCGCCGCAGCCCCAAAACCUAAACGGCGCCGCCGCUGUCGUCCCGAACAGGAUCGACCCGCCGCUAUCGCUCUGCUGCCGUGUACAACUGUACACGCGGUUCAACGCCUCAGCCCCAGGCCGUUCAAUUCCUCGCCGGCCUGCGGCUCCUCCAUGGACGCCUAGCUCCUCUACUAGAGCCACUGCGGCCGACGGCAGCCCAUGGCGGCGGAGUUCGUUGCGUCCAUCAGUCCAACCCCAUGGCUUCAGGGUGGCCGAUUUUUGUCGCGGCCGUCAGUUCGGACACCUGUGUCACUGCGUGCGUUGCUACCACGGCCAUUUGCGUCACUACGUGCUCCGUCACCGGCCUCAUGCGCACCGUGACCCCUGGCGCACUCCUUCCUCUCCCUGACGCUGCUCGUGCCCUCCCAGGCUUGAUCUCCUGCUGCAGCGAUGAGCUCCUGUACAUUGCUGAAGUUUCGUACCUGACGGCACCAGCACGAGGAUGCAGCAGCCAGGCUGGACCCCGUGAACUGUGAUGCUCUACUGAUGGAGAGAAGUUUGGGAAACUGCACAAAUAUUGGUAUUUUGGGAGUUAUGAAUUUGGUGCUCCGUAGGUGCCUGCUGGUAUAUGCAAGUGCUUAAAAGUAUUUAGGUGGGUGGUCCGACACCGCUGUGUCCAGCAGUCCAACACCGCCACCGGAGGCCGUUCACUGUCGCAAUGCCUACUUUCGCCCGCGCCUCCUUCCCAGUCAUCGUGAGACCUGACGGAACAAGGCAGAACCUCUCUCUCGUACGCAUUCGACUCACAGAGCUAGUAAGUUCGACGAAAAAACAGCACAAGGCAUGUCAGUUCGCGCAGAGCAUAUCAGUCUUUCAGUUCGUGAGCUCAUCAGUUCACCGAUGGGAUCCGCAGCUCCCAGGCGGUUCACAACCGCCGCCCUAGUCCGUUCAUCACUGCCAAUCGAGGCCGUUCGACAACGCAGCGUUGAGGUCGGUCAACGACGCAAUGUGGCCAUGGAUGCGCCCAACGAAGGACAGCGAAAGGCAAAAAACAAACUAGUGCAGCUGCUUGCCUCCACUUCAUAUCCCAUACCAGAAAACAUCCGUCGGCCCCUCUGUUUUCUUAAUUCAGAUGAGGUUCCUUGCUGCCUGAUGGAUAUUUGAUAAAGUCAACAAGAGAUCGAUGUGUGUGGUGACAAAUUGCAGAAUUUCGAGUCGGACAAUUGCAAAAAUUCAGAGGAGACAACGCGGGAAGUUCAAAGAAAAUUCGGACUUGUGCAGUGGUGAAGGAGGAAGCAGCAGUGCCGCCGGGUCCAGGAUUCCAGGUGGUUCAACGUGUCGAGCGGUAGCAGCGCUUGCUCCCAAUGGUUGCCCGCGCAAGGAGGAUACAGGGAUGUUACAUUGCUGGAGGAGCAGUAGCAUGUAGUAGCUAGCUGAAGAAAAGCCAGCGGCCUGCUCUGGCCAUGCCGCACCACCACUGGCACGUCCACCAUGGUUGCUGGCAGCCGUCCAAGUUGAGCGCUGAUGGGAGUCCUUAGCGUGCUUCAACGACACUCUCAUAUCAAUCUCUCUCUUUCUUUGCUCCUGCUAUUAAAAUGUGUAGAUGUGCUGCUUUGCUAAUUGAGUAGUUGGGAAGAUGUGAAAAGAACAUGCUCUCUAGGUGUGUGAUUAUUCCUGUGAGCACAAAUGUAUUUAAAUGUUUAUUUUGUGCUUCAGCUUAUGCUUUUGGGCAGUACAAAUACAUCUUAAAAAAUAAGUAGAUGCGGUCUUAUAGAACUCUAAUUGUUGUUGGAUGCUAUUCCAAAUGCCAAUGAUCAUGCAAAACGGUUAUUGCUAGAAUCUAGAUGAUAUGUAAUGUAGUUACCAUAGUUUCACCCUAUUUUUAUGGUUCUAAUUAUUGUUGCAUAAGUCUUUAAAAGAAAUGUUUGGUAAAUGUUUGUGAUCAUUGCUUGUAGGUAUUCGUAUGAACAUUAAAAUAAUGGCUUUUCUUGUAGGAGGUUCAAAGAUUGUCGUGGAGCAAGUUCAAGAGAUUAGUUUGGUGAAAAUAAUGUGAUCUUUUGGUCAGGAUUUUGCAUGAUCCAUAGCCAUCAGGCGAGCAGUUCAAGGCCUACUACGCGAGACGUCCAUCGUCUUCUACCCAUGAUGAGCUUGUUGUCUCUAUACAUCUAGCAUCGGAGUAUCUCCUCCCCUUGCCGCACACACACGCCCGCGGUCGAGCUAGUGUUGUUUGUGAUUGCUGGUCGUGACUAUUACGUUGUCAUUGGACAAAUAAUUUGUUCUGUAACUCUGUAUUGAUGGGACCUUCAGCAUAUAUGGUGUUUAGAAUUUGUUUGUAACUGUACUGCCGGGACCUUCAGCAUAUAUGGUGAUCUCA